GAUGAACGCUGGCGGCGUGCCUAAUACAUGCAAGUCGAGCGAACAGAUGAGGAGCUUGCUCCUCUGACGUUAGCGGCGGACGGGUGAGUAACACGUGGAUAACCUACCUAUAAGACUGGGAUAACUUCGGGAAACCGGAGCUAAUACCGGAUAAUAUAUUGAACCGCAUGGUUCAAUAGUGAAAGACGGUUUUGCUGUCACUUAUAGAUGGAUCCGCGCCGCAUUAGCUAGUUGGUAAGGUAACGGCUUACCAAGGCAACGAUGCGUAGCCGACGUGAGAGGGUGGUCGGCCACACUGGAACUGGGACGCGGUCCAGACUCCUACGGGAGGCAGCAGUAGGGAAUCUUCCGCAGUAGGCGAAAGCCUGACGGAGCAACGCCGCGUGAGUGAUGAAGGUCUUCGGAUCGUAAAACUCUGUUAUUAGGGAAGAACAAAUGUGUAAGUAACUGUGCACGUCUUGACGGUACCUAAUCAGAAAGCCACGGCUAACUACGUG
rnacentral:rRNA from 1 species